GUCUGUGAUAAAUCCAUAAGGGGUGAAACCUUGUACAAGAUACACCUGACCACACCAGGACACAGAAAGGGCAUCCAGUCAGACUUCCCCGCAUUCCGGAAUUUGAGGACAUAUUACAAUAUCUGGAUUACAUGAAGCUUGAUGAGCCCAUCAUUGGUUUGAACUAUUUGGACGAGCUGCCUUGUAAUGACUCACAGACGGGCCCCAAAUACACGUGUAGGCUUUGUCAUCAGACGGCAAACCUGCUGGAGAUGGUCCAUCAUGUGAUCGGACGAAAACACCGGCAGAAAUAUGUGGUAAAGCAUUGUGAAUACUUACAGCAACCUUUUUGAGUGUUUGUUUCUCCUUUUUAAAUGAAAAAGAGAAACAAAUUGAGGAAUGCCAUAACUUUUUGGGGGUUGUUUUUUUUNNNNNNNNNNNNNNNNNNNNNNNNNNNNNNNNNNNNNNNNNNNNNNNNNNNNNNNNNNNNNNNNNNNNNNNNNNNNNNNNNNNNNNNNNNNNNNNNNNNNUAUGUUGGAUCUUUGCAUAUAUGAUUGAUUUUCAGCCUGAACAUUGAUAAACAUACACUGACUAAUCCUCAUUUUCUUAUAUGUGCGCAGCAGGAUGUUUGAGAGAAUUUUACUGCGCUAAACUUUGUGAUUUGAGUGUUUUCAAGUUGCUUUGUGAUAUCCAUUUAAUACCUUUACGACAAUCCGAUACAAAGUCACCUCAUAAAUACAAAAGCCAGAAACACUGUAUCUUAUGUUUUAACGUUUACCCGUCUUCUCUAGUUCCCCCCAGGCAGACGCUGAAUAGGGAUCAGAACUUUUUACAGAAUCCGAUCCGGCGAGGUCGGCCGCCACUCCGGGACGAGUACUCUCCCCCAGGGAGGGGUCACCCGGGCACAGCCCCAUUCGGCCAAGAAGACGCGUACAUGUCGCCCAGGGACAGUUCGAUGUACCAACAGGGGGAACUGCAGGGGGCAGAUCGCGGGGGGCGCCUCACGGACAGACAGGGGUACAUGGAGCCAGAUGAUCGUACGGAGUACCAAGAGGAAUAUUUUGACGGUUCACAAAGGAGAGCCACACCGGAGCCGUGCGGGGAUCCCAGGUACGAUCCAAGGCAGGAGAUUUACCCAGACGAGGCUCCUCCUGUCACAGCGCUCCACCCGGAGAGAGAUCCACUGAAGGAGUUCUACACUGCCGAAGUCAGGAGACGCGGGCGCGCUGGUCCCGAGUACCCGGCCUCGCAGCCGGUGCACCCAGAAGGCGACGGGCGGCGUUCUCUGGACGGGGAAUCCGGAAGACCCCGAAGCAUGAAUGGGGCCGGCAGGCAGGGAUCGAGCGAACCCGAGGCAAAGAGGAGGAGCUUUCCUACAUCCAUGGAGAGGGACCAGACGACUGACGGCCAUUUGUUUAAUUUCGUCAGAGAAUAUCGUCACGAAAUGAGGGAACUGUAUCGGGAGGAGCCGGCCGGGAACCCGAGGCAGAGCCGAGCAGGAAGCCUCACCUCCCAGAGACAGGUGGAAGCUAGCCGGGCCCUGUCGGACAUUCCAGAGCCGUUCAGGCGUUUCCUAAAAGGCGCCGCUAAUGAUGAGGGAUACGGUAAAAGAAAAAGAAAGAGCCGCUUCUCUGAUGCCACUGCAGAGGAGGCAGAAACCACAAUGGAGAUGUUCCGCGAGUACGGAUUUCCAGAUCCGACACCUGGCAGACGUCCUGCACCAGUCUAUGGAACUCAACACCCUGACCGCUACAGAGAACCGCAGAGCUCGCAUCGUGCUGAAAGCCACCUAAGAGAAGACUCUGAGUCAACGGGUGUCUUUGACAUGCUGAAAAACAUUGAAAUUGAAAAUGCAGAAGAGGCCGACUUCCUGAAUAACAAACUUUGCGACCUUCUGAAGGAAUUCAAGAACAAAAAAUCUGAGAAUGCUUUGCAAAAUAGCCACGGCCGAGUAGCCGUCGCCACAAACUGCAACAGCUUUGACCCGGAGCUGUCCCCAAAACAUCAGUUUGACACAACCCACAGAGAAGAUUCAGACCGCAGACGACCAGAAGAACUCUACUUUAGAGAAGAGCAGGGAGGAAGAGGCCGGCGACCGCAUGAGCAAACACCUGAGGGGCAGCUUGAUGAAUACCACCAUCCUGUACGCAGGGUGCCUGUACAGUCCAACAGAAGACAUUAUGAGGAGGUUUUUGGGUUGCCCAGCAUGCAACAUGCCAGCUAUCCGGAUGAGCCAGGACGUUAUCCUGAAAGAUUUGAAGAACCGAGGCACCCUCUAGACUUCUCACAUGCUCCCGAGGAGUUUAUGGACUCCCAAACCUCUGCACCUCCGCUCCGCAUGGAACGAGGACACAGGAUGGACAGGGGCCUUCGGUACUCCAACAACCUGGACAAAAUCACCUCCACCCUCCUGGAGCUUGUCACAAGGAAAUAA
ensembl:lncRNA